UACGGGGGGGGCAAGCGUUGUUCGGAAUUACUGGGCGUAAAGGGUGCGUAGGCGGCUUUUUAAGUCGGAUGUGAAAACUCUGGGCUCAACCCAGAGCCUGCAUCCGAAACUGGAGAGCUUGGGUUCUGGAGGGGAAAGCGGAAUUCCUGGUGUAGCAGUGAAAUGCGUAGAUAUCAGGAGGAACACCGGUGGCGAAGGCGGCUUUCUGGACAGAUACCGACGCUGAGGCACGAAAGCCAGGGGAGCAAACGGG
rnacentral:rRNA from 1 species